UCCGAGUCUGUGCUGAGCACAACGCAGCUCCGCCCUCGCAAAGGCACAGCGCGGGCGCAGGCGCCCAGAGGCGCACAGGAGACCUCAGGCCCAGACUCCACUCCCCAGCUGUGAAAGGACUGCUGGCCAGACCCCCAAGCUAGCCCGCCAGGCCUCCAUAGAGCUGCCCAGCAUGGCUGCAUCCAGUACCAAGAGUUGGUGGGAGACGGGUGAGGUAUAGGCUCAGUCUGCGGCCAAGACUCCGUCCUGCAAGGAUAUUGUGGCUGGAGACAUGAGCAAGAAAAGCCUCUGGGAGCAGAAGGGAGGCUCCAAGACCUCAUCAACAAUUAAGAUGGACUCUGUGACUACAUGACUAAUAAAAUAUGGCAGAAAUGACACCAUGCAGUUUCCAAGCCCAGGCCUUAGGAGACAGGCAGCUUCCAGUUCAGUCUUUUGGAGGGUCAGCUCUGGGGCCCUCAGCCAUCACGCAUGGAGUCCAAC
rnacentral:lncRNA from 1 species